GGAAGAGAUCUAGCAGCUUUAGAUGAAUGCAAAACUCCCAGUUAACAGCAUGAAUUAGAACUUUAAAGCUAAUUUUCCCAGAUCAUAAUGAUUUAGCCAGCAAUUUGAACACCGACUUCAGCCCACUAUAUAACUAGCCGAAUAUAGCAGCUUUUGUUAAUAAUUCGAUAAUUAAGCUGAUGCAUAACAAAACAGCACAAUUUUUAACCAUAUAGGCACUAGCUAAUAGACAUGUUAACUCAAGAUUACAAUGCAUUUAGAAAUAAAGGUGAAGAAUCUAAUCAUAAAACAAGGACAGCAAAAGGAAGACAUAUCAGAACAAGCCCUAAAGGUUACCACACAAGACGAUUUAAACCAAUCCAACACCACCUCCUUUUUUCCACAUACAGGGAUGAAAGAGAGAGAGAUUGUUCAACACCCUGGCCACAUGCACAUUAGCACAUACAACUGGUAAACUAAUAU
rnacentral:misc_RNA from 1 species